GAUGAACGCUGGCGGCGUGCCUAAUACAUGCAAGUCGAGCGGACGGACGAUAAUCUUGCUUCUCUGAUGUUAGCGGCGGACGGGUGAGUAACACGUGGAUAACCUACCUAUAAGACUGGGAUAACUUCGAGAAACCGUAGCUAAUACCGGGUAAUAUUUUGAACCGCAUGGUUCAAAAGUGAAAGACGGUCUUGCUGUCACUUCUACAUGUAUCCGUGCUGCAUUGGCGAGUUGGUAAGGUAACGGCUUACCAAGGCAACGAUGCAUGGCCGACCUGAGAGGGUGAUGGGCGCCACUGGAGCUGAGCCACGGUCCAGAGUCCUACGGGAGGCAGAAGUAGGGAAUCGUGGGAAAUGGGCGGAAGACUGAAGGAGCAACGCAGCGUGGGUGAUGCAGGUCUUCGGAUCGUAAGACUCUGUUAUGAGGGAAGAACACUUGUGUAAGGAACUAAGCAUAUCGUGACGGUACCUAAUCAGAAAGCCACGGCUAACUACGUG
rnacentral:rRNA from 1 species